GACGAACGCUGGCGGCGUGCUUAACACAUGCAAGUCGAACGGUGAAGGGAUCAGCUUGCUGGUUCUGGAUGAGUGGCGAACGGGUGAGUAACACGUGAGUAACCUGCCCCCUUCUUCUGGAUAACCGCAUGAAAGUGUGGCUAAUACGGGAUAUUCUGGGUCUGUCGCAUGAUGGGUCUGGGAAAGAUAUUGUUUCGGGGGGGGACGGGCUCGCGGCCUAUCGGCUUGGUGGUGGGGUGAUGGGCUACCAAGGCGGGGACGGGUAGCCGGCCUGGGAGGGGGGACGGUCACACUGGGACUGAGACUCGGCCCAGGCUACUACGGGAGGCAGCAGUGGGGGAUAUUGCACGGUGGACGGCAGCCUGAUGGAGCGACGCCGCGUGAGGGAUGGCGGCCUUCGGGUUGUAAACCUCUUUCGCCAGUGAAGCAGGCCUGCUCCUUGUGGGUGGGUUGACGGUAGCUGGAUAAGAAGCGCCGGCUAACUACGUG
rnacentral:rRNA from 1 species